rnacentral:rRNA from 1 species
GAUGAACGCUGGCGGCGUGCCUAAUACAUGCAAGUCGAGCGAACGGACGAGAAGCUUGCUUUUCUGAUGUUAGCGGCGGACGGGUGAGUAACACGCGGAUAACCUACCUAUAAGACUGGGAUAACUUCGGGAAACCGGAGCUAAUACCGGAUAAUAUUUUGAACCGCAUGGUUCAAAAGUGAAAGACGGUCUUGCUGUCACUUAUAGAUGGAUCCGCGCUGCAUUAGCUAGUUGGUAAGGUAACGGCUUACCAAGGCAACGAUGCAUAGCCGACCUGAGAGGGUGAUCGGCCACACUGGAACUGAGACACGGUCCAGACUCCUACGGGAGGCAGCAGUAGGGAAUCUUCCGCAAUGGGCGAAAGCCUGACGGAGCAACGCCGCGUGAGUGAUGAAGGUCUUCGGAUCGUAAAACUCUGUUAUUAGGGAAGAACAUAUGUGUAAGUAACUGUGCACAUCUUGACGGGACCUAAUCAGAAAGCCACGGCUAACUACG